CAUAAUCAUUAGUUUUUUAAUUGAAAGCUUGUAUGAAUGGUUAAACAAAAGAAGUUCUGUCUCUUUUUUAAAAAUUGAAUUUAACUUUUAGGUGAAAAGGCUUAAAUUUUUUAAGGGGACGAUAAGACCCUAUAAAGCUUUAUAAUGAAUAACAAUUUUUUGAAAAUAAUUUAUAAAUAAGAUAAAUUAUUCUUUAUUUUAUUGGGGCGAUUUAGAUAAAAAUAAAAUUAACUGUCAGAAUAAAAUACAUAUAUUUAUGAAGUUUAGUUGAUCCUAAUUAAAGAUUUAAAGACAAAGUUACUUUAGGGAUAACAGCGUUAUUUCUUUUGAGAGUUCUUAUUGAAAAAGAAGUUUGCGACCUCGAUGUUGAAUUAAAAUAUCUUUACAGUGUAGCCUUUGUAAGAA
rnacentral:rRNA from 1 species